rnacentral:rRNA from 1 species
ACUAUACAUGCAGUCGAGCGAGCCGAACUAGUUGACUACCUUCGGGUAUGAAGUUAGGGAAGCGAGCGGCGGAUGGGUGAGUAACACGUGGGUAACCUACCCUAUAGUCUGGGAUACCACUUGGAAACAGGUGCUAAUACCGGAUAAAAGGAGAGAUCACAUGAUUUCUUUUUGAAAGGCGGCGUAAGCUGUCGCUAAAGGAUGGACCCGCGGUGCAUUAGCUAGUUGGUAAGGUAACGGCUUACCAAGGCAACGAUGCAUAGCCGAGUUGAGAGACUGAUCGGCCACAUUGGGACUGAGACACGGCCCAAACUCCUACGGGAGGCAGCAGUAGGGAAUCUUCCACAAUGGACGCAAGUCUGAUGGAGCAACGCCGCGUGAGUGAAGAAGGUUUUCGGAUCGUAAAGCUCUGUUGUUGGUGAAGAAAGAUAGUGAGAGUAACUGCUCAUUAUUUGCCGGUAAUCAACCAGAAAGUCACGGCUAACUACGUGCCAGCAGCCGCGGUAAUACGUAGGUGGCAAGCGUUGUCCGGACUUAUUGGGCGUAAAGCGAGCGCAGGCGGAAAGAUAAGUCAGAUGUGAAAGCCCUCGGCUUAACCGAGGAAUAGCAUCGGAAACUGUCUUUCUUGAGUGCAGAAGAGGAGAGUGGAACUCCAUGUGUAGCGGUGGAAUGCGUAGAUAUAUGGAAGAACACCAGUGGCGGAGGCGGCUCUCUGGUCUGUAACUGACGCUGAGGCUCGAA